rnacentral:rRNA from 1 species
UACGUAGGGUGCGAGCGUUAAUCGGAAUUACUGGGCGUAAAGUGUGCGCAGGCGGCCGCGCAAGUCGAGUGUGAAAGCCCCGGGCUUAACUUGGGAAUUGCGCUCGAAACUACGUGGCUGGAGUGUGGCAGAGGAAGGUGGAAUUCCACGUGUAGCGGUGAAAUGCGUAGGAGAUGUGGAGGAACACCAAUGGCGAAGGCAGCCGAUUCUAGGGCCGAACACUGACGCUCAUGCACGAAAGCGUGGGAGCAAACAGG